UAGGGGGCGAGCGUUGUCCGGAAUGAUUGGGCGUAAAGGGCGCGUAGGCGGCCUGUUAAGUCUGGAGUGAAAGUCCUGCUUUCAAGGUGGGAAUUGCUUUGGAUACUGAUAGGCUUGAGUGCAGGAGAGGUUAUCGGAAUUCCCGGUGUAGCGGUGAAAUGCGUAGAGAUCGGGAGGAACACCAGUGGCGAAGGCGGGUAACUGGACUGCAACUGACGCUGAGGCGCGAAAGUGUGGGGAGCAA
rnacentral:rRNA from 1 species